AGGUAGUUCUAUUCAGACCCAUUUCGUCUCAAACCUCGAGCAAAAUAGAAAUCUAAAAUCCCGCGCUCACUCCUUCUUCUACCCGAGCAUUCUUCUAUUUGGAUUUUGGAGAGAGAAAUCGUUGUUAAUUUCAUGAAAUCAGGGUUCGAAUUCGUUUGUUGAAGAGGAGGAAAAAGGAAAAUCAAUUUUUUUUUAGUUUCGAUUUACAAGCCCUAAAAAACCCUAGUUUCGGAAAUUAGGGCAAAGGAUUUCAAAUUUUGCUUGCUGUUUUGCGGCAUAGGUUUUGCAAUCUAAGGGUUUCGUGUUACGGGGGUGGUGUGUUUUGCUCAGUUAGCAGGUGAAGGAGGUUUCAGAAGAUUGGAGUUGGGGUUCCCAUCUGCUGCAAAAGAAAUGAAUUGAUUGAUUUUGAGGAAAGAACAAGCGCAUAUAAGGAUGUCAACAUGACUACAUGGUAAAGAAUCUAAAGCCCGCCUUACACUCUCUCCCCUUUUUAUCAGUAUAUAUGCUUUGAAGGGUCCUUUAUAUAUGAUGCUGUGGAUUUCACUUCACAAAAGGCUGUUAAGAGUUUUGUAUCUUCGGGAUUCCGGUCAAUGGUAUGGUGUUAUAGCUACUCCUGAGAUUACAGGUUGGAUGUCUAUUGGUGGAUUUCCGUCCUUUGUUGAAGAUAUGAAGGUAUUCUAGAGGGAAAGGUUGAAUGGGCCCUAUGGAGUAAGAGCAUUUGUGAUAAGCAACACAAUAUCUGCAAUGCCAUUCCUAAUGUUGAUAAUCUUUCUUUCGGGAACAGUUUGUUAUUUCAUAGUUCGGUUGCAUCCAGGGUUUGAGCACUAUAUAUUCUUUGUGCUAUGUCUUUAUGCUAGUGUCACUGUUGUUGAGAGCUUAAUGAUGGCCAUCGCCAGCGUUGUCCCCAAUUUCCUCAUGGGAAUUAUUACUGGUGCUGGCAUACAGGGAAUAUUCAUGCUUGUUUCGGGCUUCUUCCGGCUCCCCAAGGACAUACCAAAGCCAGUAUGGCGUUAUCCCAUGUCUUACAUCAGUUUCCAUUUCUGGGCUCUUCAGGGGCAAUACCAAAAUGACCUAAAGGGAGUGGUGUUUGACAACAGGACACCAGAUCUACCAAAGAUACCAGGGGAGUACUCUUCUUGUCUUCUUGAUGCUGAGUUAUGUUCGUUAUAGGUCAUAUUUAGGCUAAAAUGAUAUUUUCGCUCCCAAAUUUGAACUAAAGAACCUAAAGACUUAUUUUAAACAUUUUACAUGAUUAAUAUGCUUAGUUUGAAGUUUCCAAGACUUAUUCCAAUCUAUUUAUGCACAUUUAAGGUUUGUUUGGUCGUUAUUGGACAUAUUUAGGCUAAAAUGAGUAUUUUCUCUCCCAAAUUUGAAAUAAAGAACCUAAGGACUCAUUUUAAACUUAUUAAUGUUUUACAUGCUUAGGUAUAACUUUCUAUGACUCAUUCCAAUCUAUUUAUGCACAUUUAAGGCUCAUUGGGUCGUUAUAUGUCAUAUUUAGCCUAAAGUGACAUUUUCGCUCCCAACUUUGAACUAAAGAACCUAAGGACUCAUUUUAAACUUAGUACAUGGUUAUUAUGUUUAUUUUUAAGUUUUCAAGACUUAUUCCAAUAAACUUAUACAUAUCAAAUUUUUGUUUUUGUAAGGUCUAUACUCCGAGGACUGCGCCUUAUGCUAGUGAGGAAAUUGAUGUGGUUCGUGAGCAAUGGGCGAAGUUUUUUACCAGCAAGUAUUUAUUAUUGACCUGAGGGAGCUUGAUCGAGUUGGUUUAGAUGUAUAGAACAAUCUUUUAUGUUAAAAUGCAUGCGUACGUUGAAAUUGGAACGUAUGUAUAUUUAAAUGUAUUAGUACGUGCACUUUGGUUUUGGAAUACAUACAAAACUACAGUUGUUGUUUAUAUAUUUGUUAUACAGGUUGCGAUAUUCUAUUAUUGUA